GGAUGUUGUAUGACUGAAGGAUUGAAUUACACGAUAACUUACUACUGAAGAAUAUUUUUGAUAUUUUAACCAAAUUUUAUCUCUUUCAGAUAGUCACGAUACGUUACUAGAUAUCAAUCUUGAUUUGUGAACUUAUAAAAAUUAAAAGAGUUUAAUUCAAGAAUUAAUUACAAAGAGUCCUAGUUAAUUAGUGUAAUUGGAAUGAUC
rnacentral:lncRNA from 1 species